CACACCGCCCGUCACACCAUGGGAGUGGGCUGCACCAGAAGUAGAUAGCUUAACCUUCGGGAGGGCGUUUACCACGGUGUGGUUCAYGACUGGGGUGAAGUCGUAACAAGGUAGCCCUAGGGGAACCUGGGGCUGGAUCACCUCCUUACUGA
rnacentral:rRNA from 1 species